rnacentral:rRNA from 1 species
GACGAACGCUGGCGGCGUGCUUAACACAUGCAAGUCGAGCGGUAAGGCCCUUUCGGGGGUACACGAGCGGCGAACGGGUGAGUAACACGUGGGCGACCUGCCCUCAGCUCUGGGAUAAGCCUGGGAAACCGGGUCUAAUACUGGAUAUGACUCCAUGACGCAUGUUGUGGGGUGGAAAGCCUUGUGCGGCUGAGGAUGGGCCCGCGGCCUAUCAGCUUGUUGGUGGGGUGANGGCCUACCAAGGCGACGACGGGUAGCCGGCCUGAGAGGGCGACCGGCCACACUGGGACUGAGACACGGCCCAGACUCCUACGGGAGGCAGCAGUGGGGAAUCUUGCGCAAGUGGGCGAAAGCCUGACGCAGCGACGCCGCGUGAGGGAUGACGGCCUGG